rnacentral:lncRNA from 1 species
CUCAUAAUGCAAGAAUCUCCAUUCUCUCUGGCAGAUUCCCCCAAGCUCCUGGUCACCGGACUCAGGCAGGGGACAGACUCCUUGUCUGGUCUUUCUGAGGCCAUUGAGUGCAAUCCUCGUGGCAGUACCUGCGGGGAAGACGCUGAGGCUGCGGUGAAGGAAGACUGCAGGUGGUCUGUUCUCAGCUGACCCUCCUGGGUGUCUCUGGACCCCGUAUCAGACUUCGUUGCCGCACACCCAUUACAGAAGUUUAAGGAAUUUUGAGGUAAGCAUGAGAGCAUUAGCAGGCUCAUUAGCCUGCUUCCUGAGUCAGCUGUCAACAUUCUGCCUUCAAAUUCAAGAUGAAUGAAAACAGAACAUGAGCGGAAAGACUUGUGAUCGACUGGGGAGGUGGGCAUUCCUCCAGGGUCUGGUUGACUUGAAUUAUUUUGUGUAUCAGGCUGUCUGAAGUUUAUUGCAUCUUUCCAUUGGGGUUUUGAUAUUCUGGAAUUCCCAAAACCUGUGUGAGAGUAGGGUUGUGGGCCCAGGAGAUGGUAAAUUCCUUACCGGCAAAAAGAAUGUACUUUCCCAGUGAUGCUUGCAGCUCAUGGCAAUGUUCUUGCUGAACGUUGGGUGCCAAGUGAAUGUUGGUUGAAGUGAAACUGCAGUUUGAUCUGAGUAGCUCAUUACAGUAUCACACACACCUAGGUCUCUUCCACCAUUGACUUCUCUGAGUCAUCGUAUAGAAUGGGGAAUACGGCCAAAAUUUUAUAAUAACUCUAAAUGGAGUAUAAUAAAAAAAUAUAGAAUCACA